rnacentral:rRNA from 1 species
UUCGAUUAAGCCAUGCGAGUCGAGAGCUUUCGGAGCUCGGCAUACCGCUCAGUAACACGUGGGUAACCUGCCCUAUGCUGGGGAAUAACCUCGAGAAAUUGAGAACAAUGCCCCAUAGUCCACUACGCCUGGAACGGUGAGUGGAUCAAAGCUCCGGCGGCAUAGGAUGGGCCUGCGCCGUAUCAGGUUGUAGGGGGUGUAACGUACCCUCUAGCCAUCAACGCGUACGGGUGUUGGGAGACAUUGCCCGGAGAUGGAUUCUGAGACACGAAUCCAGACCCUACGGGGUGCAGCAGGCGCGAAAACUUGGCAAUGCGAGAAAUCGUGACCAGGGAACUCCAAGUGCAUCGGGUAAGACCGAUGCUUUUCUUGACUCUUCAAAGGUCUUGGAAUAAGGGGUGGGUAAGGACGGUGCCAGCCGCCGCGGUAAUACCGGCGCCUCAAGUGGUAGUCGCUUUUAUUGGGCCUAAAACGUCCGUAGCCGGUUUGGUACAUUCGUGGGUAAAUCAACCCGCUCAACGGGUUGAAUUCUGCGAGCACGGCCAGACUUGGGACCGGGAGAGGUGUGGGGUACUCUCUGGGUAGGGGUAAAAUCCUGUAAUCCAGAGAGGACCACCUGUUGCGAAGGCGCCACACUAGAACGGAUCCGACGGUCAGGGACGAAACCUAGGGGCACGAACCGGAUUAGAUACCCGGGUAGUCCUAGGUGUAAACGCUGUGGACUUGAUGUUGGGAGCGCUCCGAGCGCCCUCAGUGUCGUAGCGAAGGUGAUAAGUCACUGCCUGGGGAGUACGGUCGCAAGGCUGAAACUUAAAGGAAUUGGCGGGGGAGCACUGCAACCUGAGGAUUGUGCG